rnacentral:rRNA from 1 species
UACGGAGGGUGCAAGCGUUGCUCGGAAUUAUUGGGCGUAAAGGGUAGGUAGGUGGUCUUAUUUGUCUGGGGUGAAAGCCUUGAGCUUAACUCAAGAAGUGCCCCAGAAACGGUAAGACUCGAGUCCUGGAGAGGGUUGUGGAAUUCCUGGUGUAGCGGUGAAAUGCGCAGAUAUCAGGAGGAACACCGGUGGCGAAGGCGGGUCUCUGGGCCGAUGAUUGACGCUGAGGAGCGAAAGCGUGGGGAGCGAACAGG